rnacentral:rRNA from 1 species
AGAGUUUGAUCAUGGCUCAGGACGAACGCUGGCGGCGUGCCUAAUACAUGCAAGUCGAACGAACUCUGGUAUUGAUUGGUGCUUGCAUCAUGAUUUACAUUUGAGUGAGUGGCGAACUGGUGAGUAACACGUGGGAAACCUGCCCAGAAGCGGGGGAUAACACCUGGAAACAGAUGCUAAUACCGCAUAACAACUUGGACCGCAUGGUCCGAGUUUGAAAGAUGGCUUCGGCUAUCACUUUUGGAUGGUCCCGCGGCGUAUUAGCUAGAUGGUGGGGUAACGGCUCACCAUGGCAAUGAUACGUAGCCGACCUGAGAGGGUAAUCGGCCACAUUGGGACUGAGACACGGCCCAAACUCCUACGGGAGGCAGCAGUAGGGAAUCUUCCACAAUGGACGAAAGUCUGAUGGAGCAACGCCGCGUGAGUGAAGAAGGGUUUCGGCUCGUAAAACUCUGUUGUUAAAGAAGAACAUAUCUGAGAGUAACUGUUCAGGUAUUGACGGUAUUUAACCAGAAAGCCACGGCUAACUACGUGCCAGCAGCCGCGGUAAUACGUAGGUGGCAAGCGUUGUCCGGAUUUAUUGGGCGUAAAGCGAGCGCAGGCGGUUUUUUAAGUCUGAUGUGAAAGCCUUCGGCUCAACCGAAGAAGUGCAUCGGAAACUGGGAAACUUGAGUGCAGAAGAGGACAGUGGAACUCCAUGUGUAGCGGUGAAAUGCGUAGAUAUAUGGAAGAACACCAGUGGCGAAGGCGGCUGUCUGGUCUGUAACUGACACUGAGGCUCGAAAGUAUGGGUAGCAAACAGGAUUAGAUACCCUGGUAGUCCAUACCGUAAACGAUGAAUGCUAAGUGUUGGAGGGUUUCCGCCCUUCAGUGCUGCAGCUAACGCAUUAAGCAUUCCGCCUGGGGAGUACGGCCGCAAGGCUGAAACUCAAAGGAAUUGACGGGGGCCCGCACAAGCGGUGGAGCAUGUGGUUUAAUUCGAAGCUACGCGAAGAACCUUACCAGGUCUUGACAUACUAUGCAAAUCUAAGAGAUUAGACGUUCCCUUCGGGGACAUGGAUACAGGUGGUGCAUGGUUGUCGUCAGCUCGUGUCGUGAGAUGUUGGGUUAAGUCCCGCAACGAGCGCAACCCUUAUUAUCAGUUGCCAGCAUUAAGUUGGGCACUCUGGUGAGACUGCCGGUGACAAACCGGAGGAAGGUGGGGAUGACGUCAAAUCAUCAUGCCCCUUAUGACCUGGGCUACACACGUGCUACAAUGGAUGGUACAACGAGUUGCGAACUCGCGAGAGUAAGCUAAUCUCUUAAAGCCAUUCUCAGUUCGGAUUGUAGGCUGCAACUCGCCUACAUGAAGUCGGAAUCGCUAGUAAUCGCGGAUCAGCAUGCCGCGGUGAAUACGUUCCCGGGCCUUGUACACACCGCCCGUCACACCAUGAGAGUUUGUAACACCCAAAGUCGGUGGGGUAACCUUUUAGGAACCAGCCGCCUAAGGUGGGACAGAUGAUUAGGGUGAAGUCGUAACAAGGUAACC